CUGAGGGAAAUUCCACAAUGGAGUGCAGCUCUCUCCAGGACAGCCUCAUGGGCACACUGGCCAUGCCUGAGGGUAGGAGACUAUUGUUUUUAUUUACAGAAGCUGAGAGAAGGAUUUACAAAUCUCUAACUGGUUAAAUUCACUGAGCGGCAGCACCUUUCUCCUCAGGACAGAUCCUAAUUCUUCUGAGGGGACCUUUAGCCGCAUGGUAAACUUGUGUGGUGAAGGCAAACCUGCUCCUGGAGGAGAGGAGCCACUGGCAUUAUUUUAUUAUUUUAUCUUAAUUUUAUACUGGCUUGUGUGUAUGUGUGUGCACACAUUAGCCCGUGUAGAGGCCAGAGCUCAAUGUUAGGUGCAUUUUCUGUUUCCUCUCCACCUUCUGUAUUGAGUCAAAGCCUCUCACUGCACCUGCAGCACCCCAAUAUGUCUACACUGGCAGCCCAACAAUCCUCAGGGCUGCUUCCGUCUCCGAAUCCCCAGUGCCGCGAUUCCAGGUAUGAGCUGCACGCUUGGCUUUUUAAAAUAAAAUUUGAGAUUCAAACUCAGGUCCUCAAGCUUGUGAAAUGACUGCUUUACCAACGGAGCUGUCUCUCAGCCCCCACCGCCUUUCAGUUCAUGGAAUUUCCAUCGUCUACACCAGAGUUCUGCAUUUCCCACUGCUCAAUGAGCAUUAGUAAGCAGUACAUAAAUGCACCCAGGGGCAGAAUUAUCUGAGCUUGAAUCAAUGAGAAAGAAGACUUGUAAGAUGUGGUAUUUGAGACAGACUUUGUAGCAGGAAUAGGUUUUGUCUGAAAAAAAAAAAAACCCCAAAAAACUAAAAGCUAAAACCCUUGGAAGUGCUAACAAAACUAGAAGCAUUCAUUUGUAUACAUCGAAAGACUAGAAGAGAGCUGUCCGUCUCAUAGAGAUUUUGAACUACAGCAUGAUGCGUUCAGUGUAUAAAUUGGGAUUUGUACACUGCAGAAUGAUGGCAGGGAUAGCUAGAGUGUCCCUGAAGUCUGUUCAUUCUCCAUACAAAAUGAUGCUCUGCAUUUGGGGUUUUCCAGGUUGCUGGUAUUUCUGCAACAAUAUUUCUGAAGAGCUUGCGAUGCAGAGUUAUUUCUUCCUCGGUAAGAUAGCUGGUGGGCGCAUGUGGGAGAGAAAAAAAUGGCAAAAUAAAUGACAGGCUUCGAUGCAUAGGCAGGCCCUCCCACAAACACAUCCGAGUUAUAACCAAGCAGUCACGACACUCUCCAUUAAUUUAAUGAAAUUAAUUUUUCCGUACCCCACUUUCUGUGCUACAAAGCACUUUACGAUGAGAGGCAAAAGGAGAUAAUGAGAUAAUGCUUUAUGGAACCACGCCGCAUCGAGUUUCCUAUCAUUAGCAAGACAGAAUAAUAUGUCAGAAAUGGUGCAAAUAGAUGAGAACUCUUAAUAGCAACCAGAGACACAGCCUGAAGCAAAAUGACGCUCCCAAAACCCUAUCCCUACUACAAAAGUAGCCUGGGUGCUAGUGGGAUUCUGAGUGUGACUGGGACCAAAUGCCUUUCCUUUUACGCUGUGCCAGCCUCAAACAACUGUCUCCAUCAUCUCUAGGUCAUAAGGGUCCUGGUAGAGGAGAAAGACUAAGACUGUGGUGGUUUUGAUGAGAAUGCCCCUCAUAGGCUUCUGUAUUUGAAUGCUCAGUCACCAAGGAGUAGAGCUCAGAAGGAUAAGGAAGAUUGUAUUGGAGGAUGUAUGUCAAGGUCAGUUGGGUUUGAGGUUCUAAGAACCUGCGUCAGGCACAGUGUCUCUCUCUCUCCAGCUGCCUCUGGAUCAGGAUGCAGAAAUCUCAGCUAUGAUCUAAGCAUAGUCUCAGAAUUAUGUCUGCCUGCGUGCUGACCUGCUCCCUGUUGUGACGAUAAUGUACUAACUGCCCCCCACCCCCCACCCAGUUAGGUGUUUUCUUUUGUAAGGAUUUCUUUGCUUACAGUGUUCCUUCCCAGCAACAGGACACUAACAAGGACAAUGAUGUUGAGAGCCAAUGAAAACUCAGUUAAGAUUCAUUUAUGCCAAUCACUACCCACUCACCUUGCCUGCCAUGUGGCCUGGUCUCCUUGUCUUUAAGGUGGGUGUGGAAACCCGUCGUAUGACCCAGAAAACCUGGUACAUGUACCGUAGCAGGAAACGAUAAAGCGGGCCUGUGUCAAAUAAGGUGGAAGGCAAGAGCCUGACCCCCAAGGUUCUCCUCCAGUCUCUCUGUGUGUGCUACGUUUAUAUGUACACAAACAUGGGCACAUAUUAUGUGCAUACAAAAUACAAAAAGAAGGAAGCAGGAUAAUCUGUCUUGUAGAGUUACUGUAAGGCUCAGGUCUACAAAACUGUUUUAGCAUACUAUCCAGCACAUAGUAGGUGUUCAACACACACUAUCUUUACUUCUGCCUUUCUUAGUAACAAGACCGUCAGAUCAGCUGAUCUCAUGUUUAGAUCUUUUGUGCUGCCUCUGUGGGUGCACAGGGAACAGUGUUGCAUGGAUAUUAUGUUGAGAGGGAGGUCUACCUGUGUGUAAGGUUAUCUUCCCCCCUCCUUUAAUCUCCUGUAUAUGUACUCUACCUUAUGUCACUAGUUGCAGAAAGGUAUUUUUUUCAAUAAAUCUUCAUAUAUGCCCACCAGAUUCUCUGUUAGCAACAAAAGGAGUUCACGUUUAAUAAGAUAAAUUGUCAAAAGAUACCUCACACCCGCCACUCUUGUUAUGUGUUGGUGAAGCUCUGCUUUUCUCCCGUCUCCCCCUAAGUGAUUUGGUCACUAAGCCUGAAAUGGCCCCCUUCUCUCGACAGCUACUGGUUUCAGUGUGUGCACUGUAUCUUCCCUGGGCCAGUGUGACCUAAGGGAAAUUGUAUUAGGAGAUCGUUGGGAAGGUUUCUUUUUUCGUUCUUUAAUAGAGAUUCAAAGUGGCACCUUUCCUUGUCUAGAUGUGUAGUAUCUGUAUAUUACAGCAUCUGUACAGGAUACAUGAACUGAUAGCUAUAGUGAAAUCAGCCAACAGAAAAGUUUAUAAAGACUCAAAGGAUUCAGCUCUUAGUGGCACUGUCUCCAAGACAGUCACCUCUGUAUUGGCCCAUCACUAAGUAUCUAUCUAUCCUCAAGGCCGUGCCUGAACUCUGCUGGGCUUUCCCUUACUGUGGUGAAGGCAUCACAAUGCAGGCUGUCAGGUGGGAUCCAGUUUGACCCUAAGUUUGUCCUUAAGUGUAGAGGAAGGACCUCAUAUUUCUUUAGGUGUAUAGCGUCCAUGCCAGCUUGUCCCAAGCCACCUUCUGAGAAGAUGAAUCUAGCAACUGUCCAGCUUCCAGGUGCAAAGAGAUGGGAAAUAUCCGAGUCUCUAGGGCAGUCAGGACCUAUCCUGCUGGAAAAGAGAAAGGAUGUGACCUGCCACUCAUGGUGCACCCAUUCAGUGCCAAAGCACUUACAUAUGUUUUGACCCUCUCCCCAUAAAGUGUGUUAGCUUCCUUUAGAGGUGGAGACACUUAUCUCAAGGAUUAAACAGCUGGCCAAGGUCUGCUUUUAAGUGGCAAAUCUGGUGUGAGAAUGCCAGAACCCAGUUGCUAUUUUCUUGACGGAGAGACAGAAACCUGAGACUGAUAAAGCCUGGCCAGAAUCCAAGUUUAGAUCAUUUUCUUGAGCUUCAUUUAUUUAAUGUGUUUGAGUAGUUUGCCGCAUAUGUAUAUGUGUAUGUGUGUGUAUAUGAUGUACAUAUAACGUAUAUGCAAUGUAUAUGCAUAUUACAUGUAUAUGUAAAUGUAAUCUAUGUAUAUAUGUAAUGUAUGUGCAUAUGCAUAUGUAAUAUUUAUGUUUAUGUAUACGAUGUAUAUGUAUGGUGUAUACGUAUAUGAUGUAUAUUAUGUAUAUGAUGUAUAUGAUAUAUGUACAUGUAUAUGUAUGUGUAUAUGUAUAUGAUGUAUGUGUAUAUGUGUAUGUGUAUGUAUGUAGUGUGGGGUAAAAGACGGCUUUUUUUUUUUUUGGUUCUUUUUUUUUUUCGGAGCUGGGGACCGAACCCAGGGCCUUGCGCUUCCUAGGCAAGCGCUCUACCACUGAGCUAAAUCCCCAACCCGGCUUUUUUUUUUUUAAAUUUUACAGCAACAGAUUGUGAACCAACAUGGUGGGUGAGAAUCCACUAGUAAUCCUAGGAGUUGAGAGGAAGUUUUAUUUUCUAAGUAAGAGGAGGCCAGCGCCAUGUUGAGUCAUGUGAUGUCUCAAGCUUGGGAACUUUAAACAAUGAAACAUAGAAGCAGCCUGGGCAGGCAGGCUGUAGAUCCCCUGCUGUGUGAUAAGAAGUGGCAGCUCAGAGAGUUAGAGAUUAAAAGCUACUUUUUAAAGAAAGUUGUUUAGAAAGUCUUUCAGCAUACUCAUAUUCCUUCUAACGUGGGCUCCACGGGAAUUUUGGGUUGAAAUCCUAGUCAGACAAGCUACUUCUUAAUGACAGGUAUUAUUAGAAGGUGAUCAAGUUUGUUUUUCAGAAGAAGAGAGUACAGAGAUUACCCGAAUCACGUGGGGAUUUUCACCCAUGGUUCAAACUUAAGGAAAAUUAGUCACUGACUCCAAGUAGAGAGUUGUGAUAAAAGUCUGUAACACCAGGGAGAGUGAAUGCAGACAUAUAUUAUAGAAGUUAUUAAGGUUAAAGAAAAAUCUGAGGCUCUGGGAAGAGAGCUUAACAGAUCAAUAUAUUUUGGGUAUUAAGGUUAAAUAAAAAUCUGAGGCUCUGGGUAGAGAGCUUGACAGAUCGAUAUAUUUUAUCUAAAGUCCUGGUUUGAUAAAUUGCCUACUUAUUGGUAUUAGAAUUGAUAGAAGGUGUUUAGUUUGUUUUAUGAAUUACCCCGUUAAAGACCAUAUGGCUUGUUGAUGCUGGCUAGCGAGGCUAUGUGUUUACUUUUGAUAUUUACCACAACAGGAAGCUCAGGUUCUCUUAACGUGGGUUCCAAGGGAAUUUUGGGUUAAUUUCCUGAUUUGACAGAUUAGAGAAGCCUAACAGGUUUAUUGUUUGACACUAUUGUUUAGAUUACUUCCUUUUUAAAAAUCGUUUAAUCUUCAUAAUGGAUGUGAUUCUAUGAUUCUCAGAUUUCUGACGGGGUUGAAGACUGAUUAUAGUCUCAUAGCCUAUCAGGCUGUUAAACGUUGAAAAUACUUUGAGUUUUAUGGUUAUAUUAUUACUCUGGGAGAGAGUGCCAGAUAUAAGCUUUCAUGGUUACAGACUAAGAAACACAGUAUUUUGGGAGAAAGGUUUUUUCUUUGUGUUUUUAAAAAGGGUGAUUAGCUUUGAGACAUUUUCCAGAGUCAGAUUUGAUCAGAUUUGACAAUAGGAGACUGCCUGAAAAACUAGAUUCAAGAGAAUCAAUCAAAAAGAUAUCUCUAUUCUAAACUUUUAUCUUGAGAAUUAUAUUUUGCAGAAUGUACCUACUUGGAUUCCUGAUCUCAAGGACUUUCAGCUGGGUCCAGUCAAGACAGACAUAUCUGCUCCUAACAGUUCCCCUUUGGUAGAUUUAAUGAAGAAAUUGAACAUCUCUACAUCCAGAGACCAAUGGGAAUCCCAAGAAGUCCUAGGAGAGAGAUGUAACUCCACACAGAUGCAUAGCAGCUUCUUCCCAGGGAAGGAGGUGGGAUUCUCCGUGCUGUCUCUAAUUCCGUGGUGGUCUGAGCCCAGAUGCAGGUGCUGGUUCACUGUAUGGGAGUUUCUGCUACAGAAUGAUGGAUUCUAUGGUCCGGGUUAGUGGGAAGUAAGCCUCUGGGACCACUCCAGCUCUCCCGGUCCCCAAGGCCCUGAGACCAGUGGGUGCCAAAACCCUGCCUGGAGAUGGCCAGGAGCAAGAGUAAUCGUCACACAAGCCGCGCCCAUGGACCUCUCCUCAUAAAUGCUGACUUUGCUCUUGGUAAACAGGUGGUGUACGAGGGGAUGGGUACUUCAUUUUACUUUUUUGAUAGAAUUAUUACUUUAUUAUUUUCCCUAUAAAUAGAGCGCUGACUCAUUUCGGUAAAGAAAUCAGCAAACACAAACAAACCCACAGAAGAAAAUAUAAAAUACUUAGAAUGUUGCCACCCACAUCAGAAUGCGAUUCUUCUCAAUUUUUCAUUUUUAAUGAAGAAAACUUUUCCCACAAGAAAGGAUUCUGCUUCGUUAUAAGCCUACAUUUGUUUCCAUACCAUCAUUAUGCUUUUUUUUGUCAAUAUCAUGCCCUUAUGUUAAUAAUACCACCCCUCACCCCCAUCCUUGAAUGCCAUUGUAUCUUUGCAGUGACGCCAUGGCUCAUUCUCUGUUUUCCUGUAUCAGUGGUAAAUGAUUCUUCUAGUUUAGUGUGUGUGCAUCUUCCAAGUCUUUUUGUCUUUCUCUGUACAAAUCUAUGCUGCACUACCAGCAGUUCUCUGUUCUGGCAAAAAUCACAAUAAAAAAUACCUAAAUA